UACGAAGGGGGCUAGCGUUGUCCGGAUUUAUUGGGUUUAAAGGGUGCGUAGGCGGUUUGUCGCGUCUGCUGUGAAAACCCGAGGCUCAACCUCGGGCCUGCAGUGGGUACGGGCAGACUAGAGUGCGGUAGGGGAGAUUGGAAUUCCUGGUGUAGCGGUGGAAUGCGCAGAUAUCAGGAGGAACACCGAUGGCGAAGGCAGAUCUCUGGGCCGUAACUGACGCUGAGGAGCGAAAGCAUGGGGAGCGAACAGG
rnacentral:rRNA from 1 species